rnacentral:rRNA from 1 species
CAGCCGCCGCGGUAAUACGUAGGUGGCAAGCGUUGUCCGGAAUUAUUGGGCGUAAAGCGCGUCUAGGUGGUUAUGUAAGUCUGAUGUGAAAAUGCAGGGCUCAACUCUGUAUUGCGUUGGAAACUGUGUAACUAGAGUACUGGAGAGGUAAGCGGAACUACAAGUGUAGAGGUGAAAUUCGUAGAUAUUUGUAGGAAUGCCGAUGGGGAAGCCAGCUUACUGGACAGAUACUGACGCUGAAGCGCGAAAGCGUGGGUAGCAAACAGGAUUAGAUACCCCGGUAGUCCCUGUCUCUUAUACA